UUACCAGGGACCAUUUGGAGGAGUGGAUGUUGGAGACAUUGCAACAGAAUCUCCCACACCUUUAAGAACCAGUAAUGCUCAUAUAAAGCUCUGCAUCCACAGGACUCUGCUCUUCAAGAGAGGGGCUCUGCGAAGGGGAGGAUAACCACUGGACUUCUAGAAGGCACAUCACUGCGAUCAGUAACAUUCCAAGAUGUGGCCAUCGACUUCUCCCAAGAAGAAUGGGGAUUCCUGAACCCUGCUCAGAGAAAACUGUCCAUGG